rnacentral:lncRNA from 1 species
CUCACUGCAGCCUUGACCUCCCAGGCUGAAGCUAUCCUCCCACCUCAGCCUCCUGAGUAGGUAGGACUACAGGUGUCACCACGUCUGGCUAAUUUUUGUAUUUGUUGUAGAGACGGAGUCUUGCUCUGUUGCCCAGGCUGGUCUUGAACUCCUGGCCUCACGUGAUCCUCCUGCCUUGGCCGUCCAAGGUGCUGGGAUUAAAUCACUGUGCCUGACCCAGUAUUUUAUUUUUAAAGAUGGGGUCAGCUAGGCGUGGUGGUGCGCACCUGUAGUCUCAGCUACUCAGGAGGCUGAGGCAGGAGAAUCUCUUGAACCCGGGAGGCAGACGUUGUAGUGAGCUGAGAUCAUGCUACUGCACUCCAGCCUGGGUGACAGAGUGAGACUCCAUCUCAAAAAAAACAAAACAAAACAAAACAAAACAAAGAUGGGGUCUCCCUUUGUCACCCAAGCGGCAGCACAGUGGCGUGAUCACAGCUCACUGCAGUCUCGACCUGCUGGGCUGAAGUGAUCCUCCUGCCUCCGUCUCUCAAGUAGCUGGGACCUCAACUGCGUGCACCACACCUGGCUCCAGUAUUUAGAGUGCAUGUGUGCUGUUGACUUUACCAGGGGGUCUGUGCAGAGUGUGACACCACUGUACUCAUUUCCGGGGGACACUGGCCAUCAUGAAUGGCAACUCUGGAGACGAGUGGUUAGAGGGCUGGGUGGGUAGUCUUCGUAGUCUUCCUUGCUCCAGGCACUGAUGCCUGCUCCCUUCUACCAGGGAAGUGCCCCAGCCCUUCCAGCACCAACGCACCAAACAAAAACAUCACUAUAUCAGGGCGUGGUAGGUCCCUCAGGAUUCCCCGAUGUUCCAGACGCUGGCCAAGUCUGUGUUGCCCUCUCCGACGAUCCUAGCUGCCGCCGGCAUAAACGUCCACUUGGCGGUGCACGGGUAGAACCACGAUCCUGCUGACGUCCGGUCCCACGUAACGAUCUCCCUGCAUCAAGAUGCAGAUUUCUGGCUCAUGAUCCCCGACCCUUUACAGUGGAAAACGACCCAGCAAACAAGGAGGGUGUGUAAAACUUGGAGGCGCAAACCUGAGGCAAAGCAAGGUCACCUCUGCACACACAGAGCCCACCUCAGGAGCAGUGCCCAGAAGCCAUGGCAAGCACGAACAGCCACGGCAAACACGGGCCACGGCAAAGACGAGCCACGGCAAACACGAGCCACGGCAAACACGAGCCACGGCAAACAUGAACAGCCACGGCAAACACGGGCCACGGCAAACACGAACAGCCAUGCCUGAACGGGCCCGGUUGCAUCUGAUUGCGGAGGCUAAGCAGGGUUGGGCCUGGUUAGUACUUGGAUGGGAGACCAACUGGGAGUAUCAGGUGCUCGAGGCUUUUGGCAAAAAAAAAAAAAAAAAAAAAAAGACUACAUACGUACAAAAACUUUUCCAUGUAAAAAAACCUUCAAGUCAAAACAGCGAUGACAAAUUGGGGCAAACAUUUACAAAAUAACUAAUACGAGAAGGCUAAGUCCCCUAACAUGUAGAGAGUUGUUAUGAUUGAAAAAGAACUCCAUCGCCACACACAGGAAUGGACAUGGUUGAGUUCACAAAGCAAUGGAAACGCAUUUUGAAACAGAAGGGAAACUGUGCCAUUUGACUCAUCACUGAAGAAAUGCAAUAAAAAUCAAGACCUUUCCAUCUUUCUGAUUUAGCAAAGAUAAAAAUGUUUGCAGACGCUGCACCAGGAGGAUGUGGGCAGCAUCUGCCCGAGGACGGUCACCACAGCACUGACCCGGCAGCAAAGGCCACCUGCGACCCGGAGCAGCCACUGGGGAGCCCUGCACUGAACCGCAGUGCGCUGCU